CCUCUGAGAGCAUAUCUGCUGCAAAGGUGUUGCACCUACUCACUUCCAGUUGUAUGAGGUUGGCUGCGAUGAGAGGAUUGAAUCCGUCCACUGUUAAAUUACUGCACUCUUUUAGCCUUAGAGUGGUGAGAGAUGUGAGGUUUGAGAGCAGAGCCAUUGACUUCAUGCUUGGCUCUUUGUCAACAUCAAGUACCCUCAGGGAAGCAGGGAAAGGGUAAAUGGUCUCUGAUUCUCCCAUGCCCAUGGGCCACCGACAGAACAGUUUGCCACAGUCCUCUAUUGUUAAUGAUUGGAGCAAUGAGUUGCCCUCCUGAAUUCCUCCUCCAUUCUCUAUUGGCACAAGAACCAGGCCCUUACACUUUUUUAAGGUAAGUUCCUGCAGUGAGCUGGAUGAUGGGAACUGCAUUACACAUUUCUCAUAGCCAACUAUCACCAACACAGAGAGAGCUGGGAAACAGUUUAACACUUUUGAAGAUGAUGAUUUGCUGGCAAGAUGAGAUACAUCUAAUUUGAGACUCUUAACUGAAUGGAAGACAAUACUGCCAUCCAGUUCUUGACGGAACAAACCGUCGCAUCUUUCGAUAGUCAGGUUUGUUAGGGAUUUAAGCUUUGCGAUGUCUGUCAAUGAUAUGCACGAUGCAUUUGCAAUAUCAAUAUCUUCUACUUUAUCCAGAUUGUGGGAGGCCAAAGCACCGCCAUACUCUCUAACAACCAAUUUCUUUCCAUCAUAACACAACCAUUCUGAAUCACAUCUAUUAACCUCCAAAUCUGUCAGUGUGGAGGUGUGAGGCAUGGAGGGCAGAGACAUCUUGGGGCAGUCACAAACUUCAAGUCUGCGCAAAUUGGUGCAAGAUACCUCCGACAAGGGCAUCACAUGGAGAUUGGGACAAUCGAUGCAAUUGAUUUCUUCAAGACUUGGAAAGGAAUGGCAAUUAGGUAGCACAACCCAUUCAGCAAGUUCUGGCAUCUCAUAAAACUAAACUGUCUUCAAGCGCAUAAAACAUUUCCCUGGAGCACCACCACAUCGAGACCCAAACUGAUGCAUUCCAGAAAUUCUCUUCAGUUUGAGUCCCUUGAGAUUUGGUAGCUUCCCAAAAGGUGGAAGGGUGCUCCAAGAUAUGCCUUCUAGAAUGAGAGUCUCUAAACUUGUUAACCAUAUCUCAAGACACAACCAACGAGGACCAACGGUACCACCAUGAUUUACAAUUGUAAGUACUCUAAGAUUAGAGUGUGGUUGAAGAGCAUCAAGAAUACCAGCAUCUGUAGUUGGUUGAUCUCUGUCCCAGAGUAAUUCCAACUGGUUCAGAUUCCUUUUCAACAUCAGUUUGGCUGCAGUAGCUUCCUCCUUGGUUGCCACGUGUUCAAGACCAUGCGGGCCAAGGAGCCCUCACAAUAAAAUCGGAAGACUUAAUCUGAAAUCAUCAUCUGAAUAUGUAGUAUAGAGGAGUUUGCAUUUAUGGAGGGAUGGCAAUCAGUGGAUAUUAUGUUGAUAGCUGACAAACCAUACAUACUACAUAUCCCCUGAUGUUUGCACAACAACAGAAACAUUCCAUGGCACAGCAGCUCCAACAUACCGCAGGCAGGCCCAAGAUGCUGGGUCCUCUCCUCUCUGCAAGACAAUCAAUAGCCACAUUAGCAGAUAUAGAGAAAGCAAAAGCAGUACCAACACAAUAGAUAAAAUAUUAUAUGCAUGAAUGAAUGAAGCAUUGCCAAAAAUAAAAGAUUUGAGUUGAAAUUAAUAACCUUACGGGGUCGCCUCGGAACUGACGGGGAACAUAUAGCAUGCUCGUCCUCGGGCAGAAGAACACCAGUGAUCACCAACAAACAGUGGCAGAGUAUAGCAACAUUCAAAGUUUGAGAUUGCUAGCCAGGCCUACCGCCUGGUGAUUAGAGUAGAGCAACAUUAGUCAGUUGCUCCAGAGCUGUUCCGUUCCGCCAUAAAAAUAUAUAUGUUCCUUGAGAAUCCAUCCCAGCGAGCUUUGUCUACCUCACUUUUUCGCAUUGUGAAAUCCAUCUUCUGCAAACCUGUGAUGUAGGCCUCCACGUAUGAUUGACCAAGCCAAGUACGUAGGUGUCAGCUGGAUGUUAUGGCACGAUGAAAAGUCUCUUCUUUUUCUUUUUCAAGCAUGGAAGGCAUUCCAAGUCCCUUCAAUUACUUGUUUCAGCCAGGCCGCUUUUGUUCAAAAAAAAAAAGCCAGGCCGCUUACCUCCUCUCCUCUGCAGCAUUGUAGCAGCUGGGACAACACGUAACAUCCAUUACACCACCCGGGAAAAAAAAACUCCAUCCAGUACACAAGGGAACACGUACCAUACCCUCGUAUCGUACGUAACCACUAGGAGCAAAGAAAAAUGGAGAGGUGGGUGGCUAAAUGGCCUCGGAGGCCUUGUCUUGUGUCCAUGGAACAAACAAACAAACAANNNNNNNNNNAAAUAGCUCCUCCCUAGCUCUGUUACAUAUAUGGAUGCCCUUACCCUUAGAAAGCAACAACAUUCUGGUGACAGACAGACAGAUUUGAGCAAUUCAUCAGAGAUUACAAUGUUUCAGUGCACAACACUUUUGAGCUUUAUUAGUAUGGAAAACUUAAAAAUGAGAACAAAGUGUCAAGCACAUACUGACCUUUCAGCAUAUCAACACAGACAAUUGCCCUGUUCACUUCUAUUUGUUCUGUUUGUUUGAAUGGAUACAAGAGCUAUGUAUGUUCUGAAUCAGCUGUGAAAUUCAAUUCACUACUGAGACUGCAGAAUCCAAUAAAAUAAAAUAAGUGAACUUGGGUCAGACAGAGUAUGAACAAUGCACUCUAAGGUAACUUAAACACCAAAUCAUUAAUCAUUACCUUAGAUAAGAGUCAAGGAUCAAUGCCAGUCAAUGAAACCUAAACUAAACUUGGUGGUUGACCAAAUAAUAAUUUCAGUACUCUGCCCCAGCCAGCAUAAACUAAACUUGGUGGUUGACCAAAUAAUAAUCCUCAUUGCUUCCGUCCUAGUUAGAAGAGUAGUUCAGUGAUAUCAGGCUAAAUAUUUUCAAGAAAGAAUCAAACAAACUGGAAAGCAUUCUCCAUUCUUGUAGAGUGAAACAAAUAUUUUCAAGAAAGAACCAAACAGAUAUUUUCAAUUUCACUUCAAGAUAGUAGGAAUCCAUACCAUUCUGUAAAAUAAAUGCACCACCAAGACAUAUCAGGUGCUUUUUUACAAACAGCAGCAUCCUGUCAAAGGAAAGGAUUCAAGAAAGAGGCACUUGAUUCAUUCAUUCAUGGUAAGAAAAGAAAUAGAUCUUAUUUUUAAGAAACACCAGUUAAAUACCUCCUCUUCGCCAACAGUUAAAUUCCUGCUGCUUCAUGCGAAAAAGGAGGACAAGCCUGAUAAUUCCAUGAUUCCAGCCUCACUUCUUGCAGCUACCACUCAAGACUUCUUCUUGAUCGGUACCAAGUGAGUGAGUGAUGUCUCGCAUGCCCUUUUUGAUUUCACAUACAUAGGGAGAACAGAAGCCUGACGAAGAAAAUGCACGCAUAAACGGUGCUGUAUCAAUCUCAAUUCUACUAGCAGAAAAGGGGUACAAAAAGAAGUGGAUGAAAAGAGGCGUGUGUUGGGCUGUGAAUGUAGUCAUAAAUUAAGCACAUACAUAUUAUAAACUAGAGAAAGCAAGCAGGAGAAAGAUAAAUAAUAAGCAUGCAAAAGUGGUUGCUUUGCGCUAUGAAUGCAGUCAUAAAUUAAGGAUCAGAAAUUUGGUUCUGGAGGUACUAACCAUAACCGGCAGAUUGAGUUGAGUUGCAGAGAAAUAUCGAUCAUGUAGCAGAAUGAAGAGUUAACAGCUAGCGUAGCGUUGCAGAAUGAAGAGUCGGUUGUAUCUCGCAUCUGCUGAUUAAUGUGUGCAUAAAAGAUUGAUUGCAACAGUGGUGGGAGUGGAACCUGCUAGUCUGUAAGAUUUGACAAGUUAAUAUAAGAUGCAGCAGAAAUAUGGAUGGCGAACAAACCUCGCUUCCGAAAUAGAAAAACAAAAUAGGGAGGCGACAAGUGUUACCUUUGGUGUACUUAUCCAUGACGGAUAAAUCUGGGUUGGUUCUUUUGAUUUUCUCAAUUUGCUUGUUUACCUCAGCGCUGGAACCAAUCAUAUGUAGUUCUCUCAGCGAAACCGGGAGGCCCUCCUUGGGCAUGGAUCGGAUUUCUACACACCAAAGGACACGUAACUCCUUGAGAGAAGAAAGGCGAUGCAACCCUUGAGGAAGGGACUGCAGAACACUGCAUCUGAAAAAUGUUAGAUUCUGGAGGGAGGUGAGGAGCUGCAGCGCUUUCUCUUGCUCCUCCGUGAAGCUUUCCAUGAUCCUAUUAUCCUCGAAUACAAGUGUGUGGAGGGCCGGGGCGAGGAGGUUGCAAAUAGGAGCAACAAGCAAUCCACAGAUGUUAUCCACAUUGAGUUUCUCCAAUCUAGAGAUGUAACCCGCAGGCAAUAAUAAUUUGGCCCUCUGAGAGGCCACCUCUGAGAGCAUAUCUGCUGCAAAGGUGUUGCACCUACUCACUUCCAGUUGUAUGAGGUUGGCUGCGAUGAGAGGAUUGAAUCCGUCCACUGUUAAAUUACUGCACUCUUUUAGCCUUAGAGUGGUGAGAGAUGUGAGGUUUGAGAGCAGAGCCAUUGACUUCAUGCUUGGCUCUUUGUCAACAUCAAGUACCCUCAGGGAAGCAGGGAAAGGGUAAAUGGUCUCUGAUUCUCCCAUGCCCAUGGGCCACCGACAGAACAGUUUGCCACAGUCCUCUAUUGUUAAUGAUUGGAGCAAUGAGUUGCCCUCCUGAAUUCCUCCUCCAUUCUCUAUUGGCACAAGAACCAGGCCCUUACACUUUUUUAAGGUAAGUUCCUGCAGUGAGCUGGAUGAUGGGAACUGCAUUACACAUUUCUCAUAGCCAACUAUCACCAACACAGAGAGAGCUGGGAAACAGUUUAACACUUUUGAAGAUGAUGAUUUGCUGGCAAGAUGAGAUACAUCUAAUUUGAGACUCUUAACUGAAUGGAAGACAAUACUGCCAUCCAGUUCUUGACGGAACAAACCGUCGCAUCUUUCGAUAGUCAGGUUUGUUAGGGAUUUAAGCUUUGCGAUGUCUGUCAAUGAUAUGCACGAUGCAUUUGCAAUAUCAAUAUCUUCUACUUUAUCCAGAUUGUGGGAGGCCAAAGCACCGCCAUACUCUCUAACAACCAAUUUCUUUCCAUCAUAACACAACCAUUCUGAAUCACAUCUAUUAACCUCCAAAUCUGUCAGUGUGGAGGUGUGAGGCAUGGAGGGCAGAGACAUCUUGGGGCAGUCACAAACUUCAAG
rnacentral:lncRNA from 1 species